CAGUAUAAUUUAGGCUUUUAUAGCACAUAGUCUGUGUCAGUGAGCAGGAUUUCAUCUUACGACUUUUCUGAAUGAGGAAGCUUCUGCUGUCCACCCCUCCCCCAGUAAAAACAGAAACUAACACAGAAAAAAACUAUCUUGUUAAUAGACUUUUGGGGGAUCUCGAGUUAUUUGGGUGUAAUAUAUUGAUGUCAUGUGUCAUUGUAUUUUACAGACUGGGAUUAAAAAUUUCUAUAACUAUUAUUUCUUUCCUGCUGUAAUCCAUCUAUUCAACUAUUCAUUUAUCCCCCAUCUUAUUAUUCAGUAUCAAUAUUAAGAUGGGUCUCUGCCUUUAUAAUCUUUUACUGUUUGAAACAAAGAAGAAAAUGGAAGCAGGAGAGGUUUGUCACUGCAGCGCUGGAGAUGGACGGGAUCUUUCUGGCUGUUUAUUGCUCAGUCUCUAAACAAAGAGCCUGGGUAGCCUUAAUGUGAUCAAUCUUUCCAGACAAAAAGGUCUGACAGCUCCCUGCCAGAGAAGGCAUCUGAACCACACAGCACUCCUUAGAUCACAUGUGACCGAGAAGAAGACAGUCUCACUGACUGGGGAUCUGUUUUUUCUAGCUUAAAGAUGCUUUUUUUGCAAAAAUGUCUAAACAUUAUAGCUUAUUUAAGUCCAUGUGCGUCUUGUAAAUAUUAAACAUUUUUUUUGCAAAAGGUGGCAUAUGGACUUUAUAAAGAGGAGCUGAAACUUGGAAGCGCCUAAAUGUUUCUUGAAAGGAGCCAAGCAGCUUUUUAUUGAAGGAUUAAAUAUUCUUUAGUUCGCCUACGACAUGUGGAGGACCAAGAAGAGCUCCGUUUCCCGACUACUUUGGAGACAUUUGGGAGGGAAGCCUGCAGCCAUGCACCCACGGACGGGGAGUCUUUAAAACAGAAGAUAUAUUUUACUCACUGUGCAGGGAACAGGUGUUAUUUUCAUCAUAAGUAAUAAAAACCCAAUAAAUAAAUCAGAAACGACAA